rnacentral:rRNA from 2 species
GCAACAGCUCAAAUUUGAAAUCUGGCCUUCGGGUCCGAGUUGUAAUUUGGAGAGGAUGUUUCUGGCAAGGCGCCGUCCGAGUUCCUUGGAACAGGACGCCAUAGAGGGUGAGAGCCCCGUACCGGCGGAUGCCUAGCCUUUGUGAAACUCCUUCGACGAGUCGAGUAGUUUGGGAAUGCUGCUCAAAUGGGAGGUAAAUUUCUUCUAAAGCUAAAUAUUGGCCAGAGACCGAUAGCGCACAA